rnacentral:rRNA from 1 species
GAUGAACGCUGGCGGCGUGCCUAAUACAUGCAAGUCGAGCGAACAGAUGAGGAGCUUGCUCCUCUGACGUUAGCGGCGGACGGGUGAGUAACACGUGGAUAACCUACCUAUAAGACUGGGAUAACUUCGGGAAACCGGAGCUAAUACCGGAUAAUAUAUUGAACCGCAUGGUUCAAUAGUGAAAGACGGUUUUGCUGUCACUUAUAGAUGGAUCCGCGCCGCAUUAGCUAGUUGGUAAGGUAACGGCUUACCAAGGCAACGAUGCGUAGCCGACCUGAGAGGGUGAUCGGCCACACUGGAACUGAGACACGGUCCAGACUCCUACGGGAGGCAGCAGUAGGGAAUCUUCCGCAAUGGGCGAAAGCCUGACGGAGCAACGCCGCGUGAGUGAUGAAGGUCUUCGGAUCGUAAAACUCUGUUAUUAGGGAAGGACAAAUGUGUAAGUAACUAUGCACGUCCUGACGGUACCUAAUCAGAAAGCCACGGCUAACUACGUG